rnacentral:rRNA from 1 species
UACGUAGGGCGCAAGCGUUGUCCGGAAUUAUUGGGCGUAAAGAGCUCGUAGGCGGUCUGUCACGUCUGCUGUGAAAACUCGGGGCUUAACCCCCGAGCCUGCAGUGGAUACGGGCAGACUAGAGGUAGGUAGGGGAGAAUGGAAUUCCCGGUGUAGCGGUGAAAUGCGCAGAUAUCGGGAGGAACACCGGUGGCGAAGGCGGUUCUCUGGGCCGGUACUGACGCUGAGACGCGAAAGCGUGGGGAGCGAACAGG